rnacentral:rRNA from 1 species
GGAUGCCUACGGGGGGCAGCAGUGGGGAAUAUUGCACAAUGGGGGAAACCCUGAUGCAGCAACGCCGCGUGAGUGAAGAAGUAUUUCGGUAUGUAAAGCUCUAUCAGCAGGGAAGAAAAUGACAGUACCUGACUAAGAAGCCCCGGCUAACUACGUGCCAGCAGCCGCGGUAAUACGUAGGGGGCAAGCGUUAUCCGGAUUUGCUGGGUGUAAAGGGAGCGUAGACGGCUGUGCAAGUCA